UCAAAAUACUUAUCAACUACCACUAAUUAGUAAGAACCAUUUAAAGGACCAACGAAAUCGAUGUGUAGCCUCGACCACGGAACAUCUACUUUUGAACAA